CAUCUGGAGAGUGGCGCUGCGUGCGUCCACCGAAGGGGAGCCUCGAUCCUGAGAUGGGCGGGCGAAACUCUCAGGUACAGGAACAGAUG
rnacentral:ncRNA from 2 species